rnacentral:misc_RNA from 1 species
UGUGGGAGCGGGCUUGCUCGCGAUGCAGGCAACCCGGAACUUCAGACAGACCGAGUUGAUGCUAUCGCGAGCAAGCCCGCUCCCACA